rnacentral:lncRNA from 1 species
AGACAGGACGGGGUUAAAGGAGCCGCUGACUCGGGGGCUCUGGCUCACUCAGGCCGCGGGGGAGAGAGGGGCACAGAGUGCGGGGCGGGCCUGCGGCGGCAGAGGCCAGCGUGACGUUGCACCAGCCUGAGGUGAGCCGUGCGUUCUCCCGGGGAAGUUGUCUCUGGAUGCCGGGACCCUGGCAGUGGCGGGCUGCACAGGCUCCCCGGAAGGGAGGUGUGGAUAGUAACCUGUGCUUGCACACAGGCUUCUUGGUGGCGGCAGCAGCAGCCUUGGCGUCUCAUGCCCGUCUCUGGGGUCCGCGCUUUUAGCAGCGGCUCGCGCCGUCUCUGGAGCUCCUUUAAGCCGCGCUCUCAAUCCUCUCUCCUCGCGCACCAGGAAACAAAGAGGGAAGAAAAAGUCUCUUGCCUCUUCGGCAGCUCCAGACCCUUUCCCGGACUCCCUCCCGGCUAGCCAUGGCGCACUAACCCCUUCAGGCUGUGUUCACGCCGCCAACCCCAGUCUUCUCCCUGGGAUCCGACCGAAGCCCGAGCCUCAGCUCCCAGCCCCACCCGCCCCGGCUGGUGAGCAGACAAGCCUCUCGGGCUGGUGAGUGCCUGUCGGCACCGAUCCUCUGCGGGAUCUCUCCGCUUUGCCCUCCGCACCCCUGUUGCUGCGCUCACCUCCGCGGCUCCCGUGAAGUUUGUUUAGAUCUGGAUCCAAACACAGUAAUAAGACAUUUUUGAGACAGUCAAAAAAGUUUCAACACAGACUUCUGAUAGACGAUAUUAACAUAUUAUUAUAAAAUUGUCUUAGAUAUUUAUGUGGUUAUAUUUUUAUUAAUUCCUCAUCCAUUAGAGAUACAGAAUUCAUGCAUGGAAAAAUUUGCUGUCUGAGAUUUGCAUAAAGUAAAAAGGGGAAAGAUGAGGGGCAUAGAUGAAAGAAGAAUGGGGACAUUUUGAAAUUAUUGAAUUGCGUGAUGGGCAUUUACUACACUCUCUAUUUUAUGUAUAAAAUGUUUAGUUUGUUUUUUUUUUUUGAGAAAGAAUUACUUUGUUAUUUAUUUUUUUAACAUCUUUAUUGGGGUACAAUUGCUUUACAAUGGUGUUAGUUUCUGCUCUAUAACAAAAUGAAUCAGUUAUAUAUAUACAUAUGUUCCCAUAUGUCCUCCCUCUUGCGUCUCCCUCCCUCCCACUCUCCCUAUCCCACCCCUCCAGGCUGUCAUAAAGCACCGAGCUAAUAUCCCUGUGCCAUGCGGCUGCUUCCCACUAGCUAUCUACCUUACUACGUUUGUUAGUGUGUGUAUGUCCAUGACUCUCUCUCGCCCUGUCAGAGCUCACCCUUCCCCCUCCCCAUAUCCUCAAGUCCGUUCUCCAGUAGGUCUGCGUCUCUAUUCCCGUCCCACCCCUAGGUUCUUCAUGACAUCCUUUUUUCCCUUAAAUUCCAUAUAUAUGUGUUAGCAUACGGUAUUUGUCUUUUUCUUUCUGACUUACUUCACUCUGUAUGACAGACUCUAGGUCUAUCCAUCUCAUUACAAAUAACUCAAUUUCGUUUCUUUUUAAGGCUGAGUAAUAUUCCAUUGUAUAUAUGUGCCACAUCUUCUUUAUCCAUUCAUCCGAUGAUGGGCACUUAGGUUGUUUCCAUCUCCGGGCUAUUGUAAAUAGAGCUGCAAUGAACAUUUUGGUACAUGACUCUUUUUGAAUUUUGGUUUUCUCAGGGUAUAUGCCCAGUAAUGGGAUUGCUGGGUCAUAUGGUAAUUCUAUCUGUAGUUUUUUAAGGAACCUCCAUACUGUUCUCCAUAGUGGCUGAACCAAUUCACAUUCCCACCAGCAGUGCAAGAGUGUUCCCUUUUCUCCACACCCUCUCCAGCGUUUAUUGUUUCUAGAUUUUUUGAUGAUGGCCAUUCUGACUGGUGUGAGAUGAUAUCUCAUUGUAGUUUUGAUUUGCAUUUCUCUAAUGAUUAAUGAUGUUGAGCAUUCUUUCAUGUGUUUGUUGGCAUUCUGUAUAUCUUCUUUGGAGAAAUGUCUAUUUAGGUCUUCUGCCCAUUUUUGGAUUGGGUUGUUUGUUUUUCUGAUAUUAAUCUGCAUGAGCUGCUUGUAAAUUUUGGAGAUUAAUCCUUCGACAGUUGCUUCAUUUGCAAAUAUUUUCUCCCAUUCUGACGGUUGUCUUUUCGUCUUGUUUAUGGUUUCCUUUGCUGUGCAAAAACUUUGAAGUUUCAUUAGGUCCCAUUUGUUUAUUUUUGUUUUUAUUUCCAUUACUCUAGAAGGUGGGUCAGAAAGGAUCUUGCUGUGAUUUAUGUCAUAGAGUGUUCUGCCUAUGUUUUCCUCUAAGAGUUUGAUAGUUUCUGGCCUUACAAAAAAUGUUUAGUUUGUUUUUAAAGAGACUUCUACACCUGUCCAGGUGGAGAUGGUGGUGACUUGGACAGAAUGGUUAUGGUAAAGGAAGGAAAGAAGAUCAGAUUCAGGGUAUAUUUUCUAGGUAAAGCUGACAACUUACUGGUGGAUAAAAUGUGAAAGAAAGAAUCAAGGGUAAGUUUAAGUGUUUGGUUGAAGUAAAUGGACAGUGCCAUUUACUGACAUGGGGGUGGGCAGGGGAAGGCUUGGUUGGCUGAAAUGAGGGGAGAUGUUGUCACAGACAUUUUGGGAAACUAUGACUAACCAUGAUGUUGCUUUAAUUUAGAAGCAUGUAAAAUGUGCACCCCCAAUACAUUUUUAAAUGUACAUGAAGAAGAUAGAGAAUGCUGAAUUAAUAAAUGAACAUAGAGUUUCUUUUCUUUUGUUUUAAGUAGCAAAACCUGGUCCAGUGACCACCACCCAUUCAAGCUGUAUAAAAUAAGGCUGGAGGGUUUCCCUGGUGGCGCAGUGGUUGAGAGUCCACCUGCCGAUGCAGGGGACGCGGGUUCGUGCCCCGGUCCGGGAGGAUCCCACAUGCCGCGGAGCGGCUGGGCCCGUGAGCCAUGGCCGCUGAGCCUGCGCGUCCGGAGCCUGUGCUCCGCAACGGGAGAGGCCACAACAGUGAGAGGCCUGCGUACCGC